CGGCGACGGGUGAGUAACACGUGGAUAACCUACCUAUAAGACUGGGAUAACUUCGGGAAACCGGAGCUAAUACCGGAUAAUAUAUUGAACCGCAUGGUUCAAUAGUGAAAGACGGUUUUGCUGUCACUUAUAGAUGGAUCCGCGCCGCAUUAGCUAGUUGGUAAGGUAACGGCUUACCAAGGCAACGAUGCGUAGCCGACCUGAGAGGGUGAUCGGCCACACUGGAACUGAGACACGGUCCAGACUCCUACGGGAGGCAGCAGCU
rnacentral:rRNA from 1 species